rnacentral:rRNA from 1 species
UACGUAGGGAGCAAGCGUUGUCCGGAAUCAUUGGGCGUAAAGCGCGCGUAGGCGGCCUCAUAAGUCCGUUGUGAAAGUCAAAGGCUACAACCUUUGAAAGCCGAUGGAUACUGUGAGGCUAGAGUUCGGAAGAGGCGAGUGGAAUUCCUGGUGUAGCGGUGGAAUGCGCAGAUAUCAGGAGGAACACCGGUGGUGUAGACGGCUUCUGGACCGUAACUGACGCUGAGACACGAAAGCGUGGGUAGCAAACAGG